GCCCUGUAAUGCACGCCAUGCCGCGUGUUUGUGAGAGAAGGUCCUUACGGGUUGUAAAGCACCUUCAGCGAGGGGGGAUGGCUGUCCAUCCUUAUUACGUUGUGGUGAUUGACCUGCCUCGCCAGAAGAAGGCACCGCUUAACUCCGUCCCAGCAGCCGCAGUAAUACGGAGGGGUGCAAGCGUUAAUCGAAUUACUGGGCGUAAAGCGCACGCAGGGGGUUGUAAGUCAGAUGGAAAUCCCCGCGCUUAACGUGGGAACUGCAUUGAAACUGGCAAAGCUAGAGUCUUGUAGAGGGGGGUAGAAUUCCAGGUGUAGCGGUGAAAUGCGUAGAGAUCUGGAGGAAUACCGGUGGCGAAGGCGGCCCCCUGGACAAAGACUGACGCUCAAGGUGCGAAAGCGUGGGGAGCAAACAGGAUUAGAUACCCUGGUAGUCCACGCUGUAAACGAUGUCGACUAGGAGGUUGUGCCCUUGAGGUGUGGCUUCCGGAGCUAACGCGUUAAGUCGACCGCCUGGGGAGUACGGCCGCAAGGUUAAAACUCAAAUGAAUUGACGGGGGCCCGCACAAGCGGUGGAGCAUGUGGUUUAAUUCGAUGCAACGCGAAGAACCUUACCUACUCUUGACAUCCACGGAAUUCGCCAGAGAUGGCUUAGUGCCUUCGGGAACCGUGAGACAGGUGCUGCAUGGCUGUCGUCAGAAACGAGUUGUGAAAUGUUGGGUUAAGUCCCGCAACGAGCGCAACCCUUAUCCUUUGUUGCCAGCACGUAAUGGUGGGAACUCAAAGGAGACUGCCGGUGAUAAACCGGAGGAAGGUGGGGAUGACGUCAAGUCAUCAUGGCCCUUACGAGUAGGGCUACACACGUGCUACAAUGGCAUAUACAAAGAGAAGCCAACUCGCGAGAGCAAGCGGACCUCAUAAAGUAUGUCGUAGUCCGGAUUGGAGUCUGCAACUCGACUCCAUGAAGUCGGAAUCGCUAGUAAUCGUAGAUCAGAAUGUUACGGUGAAUACGUUCCCGGGCCUUGUUCUCACCGCCCGUCACACCAUGGGAGUGGGUUGCACCCUCACGUUUUUAGUUUAACCUUCGGGAGGGCGCUUACCACUUUUGUGAUUCAGACUGGGGGAAAUUCGUAACCCAAGGCACCGGCG
rnacentral:rRNA from 1 species